AGGGACCGAGGGGCAGCUCCCACCUCAGCGCCUGACUCCAGUCGCUCUGGAUCCUCAGCGUCGCCGCCGCCAUCAUCUUGAGUCUACACCCCCCCCCUUCCUCUUCCGCCUUCCUCCUUCCUGUCAUAGGGCCCCACAGCAGGAACCAGAGCGAUGGCAAAGCCUGGACAUACCUGGAGCCGUCCUAAAUCACAGGAGGAAGAAGAGGAGGACCCGGUGGAGGCCAUGGUGUCGCGGACGGGCUGUGCAGAGCAGCACUGGGCGCUGCAGGAGUGCAUGGCGGAGCAGCGGGACUGGCGGCGCUGCCAGGCUCAGGUCCAGGCCUUCCGACAGUGCAUGGCCCGGCAGCAGCGCCCGCAGCCCAAGGAGCUGCACCCCAACCCACCUCAAUGCUCCCCCCAUGGAGAAUGAGACCCCCAGGACUGAACCCCAUAUUGGGACACCCUGACACCUCUAUCGGUGCCCCAAGGAUUCCGGCUGUGCUAUGGGACACGUUUCCUAUUAUUUUCCCUGUUAUUCUUUUUUAAAGCGGGUUGUUAUCUUGGUUCAAUCAUCUUAAUUUGAAGGCAGGAAAUUAAAUCUGAUGGCAUUUGUCCUCACAAAUGAAGAACUCCGCGUCAUUCUGCAAAGCACGGAGGGGAUUGGGAUUGCUGCAUCACGGCUGAAGCAGCAAAUGCUCACAAACCAAAGGCAAAACUGCCAAAAAUGGAGAACUCAGAAAAGUAAAACCAAAUUUCACCAUGGAGCCUUUUCAUUCACAGCGCAAACAAG